ACUCUGCUCACUCUCUCCCUCUCUCUCUGAAAAUCUCCUCCCGCUCCAAAACCCUAACCAUUGCCGCUGCUCCUUCUCCUCCACUCGCAACCCAAUCCCAGCCGCCCAGCCUUCCCUCCUCGUCUUCUCCGGCGGAACCGCCUUCAACGGCGUUGUUGAGGAGCUCAAGAACUUCACCACUCGCAUCGCCCACGUGCUUCCCGCUUCCCGCGACGGAGGAAGCACUACCGAGAUUGUCCGCGUCCUUGAGAUUGGCCUGUAAAAACACCUCCGAGGCGGUCGCAGUCCGACAAUUGCUUGGCCGGCCAAAAUCUCAAACCAGCUCUCCACCUCCGCCAAAAUCAGGUCGCUCUCCAACCUCUCGAUUAUCAAAUCGGCCUCCGCCUUCGCCUCUGCCUUGCCUUCGCUCCUUGCAGCUUAGUUCGUACUCAAUGUUUGGCUCCCUUUUGACAUUUGGUGCAAUGAUUGGUGCUAUCACGAUUGGUCCCAUCGCUGAUUUCAUUGGUUGAAAAGGGGCCAUGAGACUGUCCAGUGUUUUUUGUGUUGCAGGUUGGCUAGCUAUAUACUUUGCUGAGAGUAUUUGGCCUCUUGACAGUGGGAGGCUGGCAAAUGGUUAUGGAAUGGGAGCCUUUUCUUACGUGGUACAUGUUUUCAUAGCUGAAAUUGCUCCAAAAAAUCUUCGAGAAAGGCUAACUACUGCAAAUCAGGUAAACAUGUAAUAAGAAUGUAAUCCUUGAAGCUACUAGUACCUUUUUUUCGUAAGUUGGCUUUGAUUUUUCAGCAAGCAAGAGCAAACAAGUGAUGGCGACUCUUGUUUGUUUUACAGUUAAUGAUCUGUGCUGGAGUGUCCGUUUCAUACAUAAUUGGGAUAGUAGUGAGUUGGAGGGCUCUAGCAUUAAUAGGACUUAUUCCGUGUGCUGUGAUCAUUUUCGGCCUCUUUUUCAUUCCUGAGUCUCGAAGAUGGUUG